rnacentral:misc_RNA from 1 species
UGAAAAAAAAAACUGAAUCUUAAGAUCCUUUGCUAGCUGCACAUCCGUGUUCUUAACAUGUUCAAGGCAUUUACUCAUUUGCUCAAGCAAUCUACAUAACUCGGGUAUUCAGUAAAAGUUUUUAGAAGUUGUAAUGCAUGUCUAAUGCUCAAGGUGGAAUACAUAUUCUGUCAAGCGCUGUAGUUUACUGGAAUCCAGUUUCUGCUCUGUCACAAUCAGCUGCUUCUUCACAGUUAGCAUCCCUGAUGCAGGAUCAACAAUCCAACCUUGCUGCAUUACAUAGUUUGAAGCAUCAUCCUCGUUCAUUCCAAUAAAGUGAGCUGUGUCUUGGAUGCUUAUUGUUGAAUAAGCAGACAGCAACAGCUGAAACAUCCUCUUGGUGUAAAGCUCUGAGAAUGCAGCAACAAGAACACGAGUUUCUUGACUCCAAUCAAAACCACGAAUAGCCUCAUGCACACCUGCAUAGUCACGUGUCCAUAAUUUCUGACCAAUUCUCCAAGCUGCUACCACUUCCGGUUGGUUUUCUUUGACAGCUGAGGGUAUUGAUUUCCAGAGAAAUCGAGCACUGUUAAUAUCAUUAACAUAAAUAUGGCCCAGAAGAUGAAUAGCAUAAGGCCAUUCGUCCUGAAAAGGAAUCCCCUCUGCUGCGAACUUGAGCAUGAGUUCGUCACAGAUAUCAGAAAUCUUGUCAUAGGAUUUUGAUGACAAUGUGUCUGUGAGAGGAGUGAAAUCCAUGGUUGCUAGCUUUCGCUUACUGGUUUCUGUACAGAAAGAGGAGAAGCAAGAGAAAG